AUGGGCUCGGCCCUCGUGGCUGAAGUCAUCCUUGCGGCGUGUUCUGCAUUGUUGGCAUUCCAGGCAGAGGAGGAGGAGGAGGAUGAGGAGGAGGGCACCUUGUGCGCGAGAGUGUGCCUAUGGGCAUGGAGCCAGCUUUGGGACUGUGAUCUCGGGUGGCAAGGAACAUGCCUGAGCUGCACCAAGGCUGAGCCGAAGGCCCUGGACUGUGUUCUCCUGCUGCUCCAGAAAGACUGGACCACAAACCCAUGCAUGGAAAGAACAUCUAAAACUUAGCCAGAAGGUAAGACAGAAACGGUGGAACGCAGAGGGCCCUUGGGAUUUGGACCCACAGCUUUGGGUCCUACCUUCUUGAGGAGGUCUUUAGGCAGAACCCAGAGCUGUGGGUCUGCUUCUCAUAGGGUCACAGAAGAACUGAAAUCUGCUACGAGGGUCGUUCAGUCCAAGUCUCUGCCAUGCUUCUUCUGGUGUCUGUAGACAAAAGGUGGGUGGCCAUGCCUUGGAAGCCACAUCUCCAAGAGUUGGACUAGAUGGCCUCUGUGGUUCCCCAUUGCCUGGGUGAGUGACCAGGGCAAGGGGAUGGUGGGGACUGUCCAAUGCAUUUUGCCAGCAUUUUGGCCGCACUGUUGGCACGUGCCGCAACGUGUGUCUAAUACGUAACAGGUGCAAGCAGCUGCUUGGUGAUACAGUAGAGUCUCACUUAUCCAACAUAAACUGGCCGGCAGAAUGUUGGAUAAGUGAAUAUGUUGGAUAAUAAGGAGGCAUUAAGGAGAAGCCUAUUAAACACCAAAUUAGGUUAUGAUUUUACAAAUUAAGCACCAAAACAUCAUGUUAUACAACAAAUUUGGCAGAAAAAGUAGUUCAAUAGGCACGAUAAUGCCACGUAGUAGUUACUGUAUUUACCAGUUUAGCACCAAAAUAUCACGAUGUAUUGAAAACAUUGACUACAAAAAUGCGUUGGAUAAUCCAGAAUGUUGGAUAAGCAAGUGUUGGAUAAGUGAGACUCAGUGUACUUUGAAAUGCAUGCCGAGCUCUUUCAUGCUGUGACUGAUGAUGUCCAGUGCUCCUAAAGUGCCCAUUGUUGUUGUUGUUGUUGUUGUUGUUGUUGUUGUUGUUGUUGUACCUUCAAGUCCUUUCUGAGUUGUGGCAAUCCCAAAGGGACGCCGUCAUGGGAUUUUCUUGGCAAGGUUUGUUCAGAGGAGGGUUGGCCUUUGCCUUGCACAAAUGGACCCCCACCCUCGGCCUCUGGAAAACGUGGCUGGAGGUCUGCAAAGGUGGAAUGGCCGACAGCUGUCACUUAUGAGCAGAACUUCAACAGUCAUGGUGAAGGUGUGACCUAAGGUGCCAUUUUUAUCUCAACCAUUACCAAAUUUAAUGAAGGGCACAACAGCAUUGUGGGAGCUGCCUGCCUUCAAAGAAUUCAGUGUGGAGUUUUUAAAUAGCUGUUGUAGCUCAGCCUGGGAUUGGGCCCAUUCAGCCAGUCAUUGUCCCUGCGCCUGCUUUGCCAGGGGACUCUGGGUUUGCACCUGAGAAGCAGCCAGAGUUUGUCCCAGUGGAUUCUGGGACCAGAGACCGAAUGGUUGCAAGCAGGCAUUGUGAACCAGCAGUCAAGGUCAGAUCUCCAGGUGCCAGAUGGACAUUCUAGUUUAGAGGAGGAUAAUGAGUUUGACAGGAGGGGAGCGAUAACUCACCAAAGGAGGGAACGAGAAUGUUUGCGGAGAAGCAAAUG
ensembl:lncRNA